GAUGUCAUCGUUGAAGCGUCGUGCAGGGAAACAACAUCUGGCUCGGUUUAACGUGGGAAUGAACAGGAUCAACUUUCCGGGACUUUUUAUGAUAUUUUUUUCAACAGAUCGAAAACAGAUUUCACCGGAAUAUGGAAGAAUUAAUAGAACAGCAAACUGAAACCAAAGGUCGCGACUUUGAGGUCUGGGAACGUUUCUGUUUGUUUUUAGGUGUCUGAUCUCUAUCAGAAUAUAACAGUUUGAUCGUUGAGAAUGACAAUGCCAAGCAUUAUUUAGUGACAAGAUAUCAUAUGGUAUUAGUAGAGCAUUAUGGGAUGUGUUUGCCUAUUACUAAUGGAUUGGAGGACUGGACGUCUGUGAGUGGAUUUUACAUUUGCGUGUGACAGAGGGAAAGGUAAACCAGCUCUUCCCUUCACACCUCUUGUGCUAAAGUUCAUCCACCUCCAGCUUCAGGUGCUCUGACACACUGUGUGUUUGUUUCCUUGUCUUUGAGCGAAGAACUCGCUCUUUGUGAACUUUUGUGUGUGUGUGUGUGUGUGUGUGUGUGUGUGUGUGUGUGUGUGUGUGUG